ACGGCCAUAUCAUGUUAAAACCCCGGUUCCCUUACGAUCACCGUAGUUAAGCAACGUCGAUCCUGGUCAGUAACUAGAUAAGUGACCACUUGGAAAUACCAUAUACUGUA